ensembl:lncRNA
AUAAAAAUCAACCAAAAUCCAGCAAAUUUCGCUGGAUUUUGGUUGAUUUUUUUGUGACUGUUUUUAAGAAACAUUUUUAACAAUUCUUUUUUUCCACCAAAAAAUGUUCAAAGAUUUCUCAAAAAUGUUGAAAAUGUGGACAUCAGAAGUCUGUGAAUUUUAUUUUUUUUUUCACCACAUUUUCAAACUUUAAAACAGGAUGACACGAGGGUUAAUGCUAAGCUACACCAUCUCCUGUUAGCCUCGGCAUACAAAUAUAGAUUCACAGAUGCGCAAAAUUUCCUCAAAUGGCGAAACUAUUCUUGUCUGUGUAUGAUUGUAAAUGUGCAGGCCGGAAAGCACAGCACACUGCAGACUCGGCCUCUCGCUGUAAUCAGUAGAUGCUGUUCUUCCUUUCGGGCACAAGACGAGGCGAUAGGUGGGGAACGACGGGAGAGAGCUGGACUCAUUCACAUAAAAAACCCCGCUGUGGACGCGUUCUGGGAAAUUUAAAAACCGUCCCAGAACGUGCCUCAGUUUCAUCAGGUGACUCAGAAGGUGCCUUAACCUGUGUCCUCAUCCUCUGCUUUUACAUUUCAAGUGUACCUCAUCCGCUCUUUCACUGAUUCCACCAUCAGGGAAAAUGUCCAUGACUGUCAGAGUGCACUCAGGAGGUGGAGAGGCAGAGCAUUCGGACUCAGCAUUCAGACGCUCCCAGGUUUGAAUAAGGGCCACUGCAGAGGGAGCAAACGAAGGGCGAUGUGUUCCCCUUCCCUUUUUAAAACAUUUUUUUACCUCAUCUGACUUUGCAUUGAUCUGAGUGGCCCUUAGAAAGAACUGGAUGGUCUCGCAGAACACUAAAACCCCUGGAGAGCAAAACUGAGCUCAUUACAGUAGGGAUCGACUGAUGUGUUUUUAAAAAAAAUGUUAUGGGGCCAAUACUUUUAGAGCUGAUUACUGGUGAUCAAGAAAGACCGAUAGCUGAUAUUUGGAAACAAUAUACGUUAAAUGUAAUGUUUUAACAGCAUUUGACAGCAGAGAACUCAAUUAGGCUUCUUCAUUAAUUAGGGCGACUAUAACAGAAAUAGGAGUGAUUAAAUUAGGACGCUCUCUGUUUAUGUGGGAUCAACUGAGAUUAAUGAGUUUUUCUCCUACAGUUCUUCUCCACUUUCUGAAUAUUUCACAGUUUUAUCCCUUUUUUGUCCACUAAGGUCCAGAUCUUAAAUUAAUUAUUGUUUUCCAGAUUCUGUUUCAGGUUAAUCUGUGGCUAUCUUCUAACUUAGCCGCUAGCCAUUAGCAUAGUCUUAGUCACUGUCAGAGAAGCAGAGCAGAUUGGUAAAGUUAAUCUUACUUCAGGAAGAUGUUUUGGUGCUCCAGACAGGCUAAGAGGAACAGGAGACCUGUUAGCGACAGAAUUAGCCCGAGCUUAGAGGGAAUAAUUGAAAAAUAAAGUCAAAUAUCGGCCUUAAACUCUUUUUAAAACCACAGAUAUCAACUUCAUGGCUGCUGUUGUUCACUAUUUUCCUACACUGUUAUAUCACUUUUAUUUCCCACUAAGGUUCAUAUCUGACGGUUAGCGUAGCCACUGUGGGAGAAGCUAAUUUCCUGGUUUGUGUUUCUUGUUCAGACAUUUCUGAGACCACAGAGUGAAACAGACAUAGAGAUGAGGCUUCAUCAGACCUGAAGUAGAGCAUUUAAUUCAUUAAUGGUCGGCCAGUAAAAAUACAGAUGAUCAGGAAAAACACCAAAUAUCGGUCACGAUAAUCGGUCUAUCCCUACUUUACCGUACUGUGGUGGAUGGAUGUGAACAUGCCAAACCAUUCCACGCCUCCAGGUGGAUAAUAUGCAGUUCUAAACUCCGUGUUUCAGCCUGCUGCUCUCGGUUCCCCGUCCUCUAAACUGUGAUCGGGGCUUGCUGUCCGCUCGCUGCUACUGUGCAGGGUUUUCCCAACCCUUGUGACAUUUCAACAAGCCUGGGUCAAACGGCAUUAGAAAUCCGAGAUCCGUCAACAUGUCUCGGUAGCAAAGUGUUGGUUUUUUUUAAAGGAUCUGUGCUGUUUGACUCAUGUCUAUGUAUUUAGAUAUGUAACAAAAACUUGUUGAUAGGCAAUCCUCUGUCACUUUUGCAGAUGUAAAAAAAACUAAUUUGGGUUUCCAUAUUGAAAAAAAUCUAACUUAUUAUUACAAUCUUUUGUUUUUUAUAUAUAUAUAUACAGAUGUAGAUAUAAUUUUCUAUCAUUUUUUUCUUUAAAAUAGAUUAUUUUUUUGAGCGCUGUAUUUAAUGUCAAAUUUUAUUUUAUUUUUUGCAUCAUACAUGUCGUAUACGUCUUUUUGUAUUCAGCAAGGUACAGGCUUUUUUCACGUUAGCAUGGAAGAUUAAACUUGGGGGUCACUUCGAUGUGGGGAACAUAGUGGAGAUCGAUUCUCAUCACAUUUAGCCUCGUAAACACAAACAUAAUCCUUAGAAUAAGACCUGAUUGUUGUCGCUGACAUUGCAUCGCUGUUAACCCGCCGCAUGAUUUUAGCACGCUUGAGUAACAUGUUUGGUUGUGCGAGUAUUCAUCCGUCAUAGGAAUUUGGUGAACAAAAUGUGAACGUCUUAAUUUAUCUGAAUGCUUUUACAUCCAUAUCCCUGAGUUACAUCACUGGAUCCAAACUCCGAGACUUUUCGUGACCAAAUUAAUGUGCUGUUUUUUUGUUUUAUAGCCAAAUGAUGAUUCUGCUGGUGCGAUGUCUUUUACCUGUUUAGUUUAUUUUCAUUAUUAAAGACGAUUCAAUGGGUAAAUUAUAGUAUGUUUUGUCUGUUUUUU